AUGAACGCUGGCGGCGUGCCUCAUACAUGCAAGUCGAGCGAACAGACGAGGAGCUUGCUCCUCUGACGUUAGCGGCGGACGGGUGAGUAACCCGUGGAUAACCUACCUAUAAGACUGGGAUAACUUCGGGAAACCGGAGCUAAUACCGGAUAAUAUAUUGAACCGCAUGGUUCAAUAGUGAAAGACGGUUUUGCUGUCACUUAUAGAUGGAUCCGCGCCGCAUUAGCUAGUUGGUAAGGUAACGGCUUACCAAGGCAACGAUGCGUAGCCGACCUGAGAGGGUGAUCGGCCACGCCGGAACUGAGACACGGUCCAGACUCCUACGGGAGGCAGCAGUAGGGAAUCUUCCGCAAUGGGCGAAAGCUUGACGGAGCAACGCCGCGUGAGUGAUGAAGGUCUUCGGAUCGUAAAACUCUGUUAUUAGGGAAGAACAAAUGUGUAAGUAACUAUGCACGUCUUGACGGUACCUAAUCAGAAAGCCACGGCUAACUACGUG
rnacentral:rRNA from 1 species